rnacentral:rRNA from 1 species
AACGAACGCUGGCGGCAUGCCUAACACAUGCAAGUCGAACGAGACCUUCGGGUCUAUUGGCGCACGGGUGCGUAACGCGUGGGAACCUGCCCUUAGGUUCGGAAUAACUCCCCGAAAGGGGUGCUAAUACCGGAUAAUGUCUUCGGACCAAAGAUUUAUGGCCUUUGGAUGGGCCCGCGUUGGAUUAGCUAGUUGGUAGGGUAAAAGCCUACCAAGGCGACGAUCCAUAGCUGGUCUGAGAGGAUGAUCAGCCACACUGGGACUGAGACACGGCCCAGACUCCUACGGGAGGCAGCAGUGGGGAAUAUUGGACAAUGGGCGAAGGCGUGAUCCAGCAAUGCCGGGUAAGUGAUGAAGGCCUUAGGGUUGUAAAGCUCUUUUACCCGGGAUGAUAAUGACAGUACCGGGAGAAUAAGCACCGGCUAACUACGUG